UCGAUCAGGGGAACUCCCCUUGAACCAAACCCUAGUUCUAACAUAAUCAUCAAAUUGAGGAGUCAAACGAAGCUCAAAUUCAUAACCGAGCAUAGAUUAAUGAUCACAUUCACAAGGGGAUCGCAAGGAAUCACGUCUCAAGCACGAGGUGUUAACGGGCCAAGAGGAGGCAAGAGAUCGGGUACGAACACGGACGCAUAAGGUUGUACGGUUCAUGGGAGAUUAUUACAAGGGGUAGAGAUCGAAGACCGAGUCACAAAAAAGGGAUUGUACGGGAAUAAUCGAGUAUGUACUUUAGUAAACGGGAGUUAUGCUUUUGUUUUGUAAAAGAGAUAUUUGUAAAACAAACUU